rnacentral:rRNA from 1 species
GACGCAGUAGGAUAGGCGAAGCGUGCUGUUGGAGUGCACGUCCAAGCAGUGAGAUUGAGUGUUAGGCAAAUCCGGCACUCUUAAGAUUGAGCUGUGAUGGGGAGAGGAACUUGUUCCUCGAGUCGUUGAUUUCACACUGCCGAGAAAAGCCUCUAGCUAGAAUAACGGUGCCCGUACCGCAAACCGACACAGGUAGUCAAGAUGAGAAUUCUAAGGUGAGCGAGCGAACUCUCGUUAAGGAACUCGGCAAAAUGACCCCGUAACUUCGGGAGAAGGGGUGCUCUUUGAGGUUCACGCUUCGAAGAGCCGCAGUGAAUAGGCCCAAGCGACUGUUUAUCAAAAACACAGGUCUCUGCUAAACCGUAAGGUGACGUAUAGGGGCUGACGCCUGCCCGGUGCUGGAAGGUUAAGAGGAGUGGUUAGCGCAAGCGAAGCUACGAAUCGAAGCCCCAGUAAACGGCGGCCGUAACUAUAACGGUCCUAAGGUAGCGAAAUUCCUUGUCGGGUAAGUUCCGACCCGCACGAAAGGCGUAACGAUUUGGGCACUGUCUCAACGAGAGACUCGGUGAAAUCAUAGUACCGGUGAAGAUGCCGGUUACCCGCGACAGGACGGAAAGACCCCGUGGAGCUUUACUGUAGCCUGAUAUUGAAAUUCGGUACAGUUUGUACAGGAUAGGUAGGAGCCUUAGAAGCGUGAGCGCUAGCUUACGUGGAGGCAUUGGUGGGAUACUACCCUAAUUGUAUUGGAUUUCUAACCCGCAGCACUUAUCGUGCUGGGAGACAGUGUCAGGCGGGCAGUUUGACUGGGGCGGUCGCCUCCUAAAGAGUAACGGAGGCGCUCAAAGGUUCCCUCAGAAUGGUUGGAAAUCAUUCAUAGAGUGUAAAGGCAUAAGGGAGCUUGACUGCGAGACCUACAAGUCGAGCAGGGUCGAAAGACGGA